AUACGUAGGGGGCAAGCGUUGUCCGGAAUCAUUGGGCGUAAAGAGUACGUAGGCGGUCCGACAAGCGCAAGGUUUAAGGCAACAGCUCAACUGUUGUUCGCCUUGUGAACUGUCAGACUUGAGUGCGGGAGAGGAAAGCGGAAUUCCUGGUGUAGCGGGGAAAUGCGUAGAUAUGCCACAGAACGCCGAUAGCGGAGGCAGCUCGCCAGGCCUGCAUUGACGCUCGGGCACGAAAGCGUGGGGAUCGAACAGGAUUAGAUACCCUGGUAGUCCACGCCGUAAACGAUGGGCGCUCGUCGUCGGCGACAGACAGUCGGCGGCCAAGCGAAAGCGAUAAGCGCCCCACCUGGGGAGUACGGUCGCAAGGCUGAAACUCAAAUGAAUUGGCGGGG
rnacentral:rRNA from 1 species